ensembl:lncRNA
CGGCCAGGUUGACUGUCCAGUGGAAGAUGCCAAAAAACUCCAUUCACCAGACUCCACACAUUACUUACCCACGUAGCCCAUCACUGUGGAGAACAUAUGUACCUGAGCCACGCUUUAUCCAGCCUAGAAUUGUUGAUCAGCCAGAUCCAGAAACUUUGAAGAAGCAAUGUAUGUACCGAAAGAAGCUGGAAAAGGAAAAAAAGAAGGCCAUGAAGAAAAGGUCUGAUUUCUCUCUCUCCAAGUUUGUCAAGGUAGCAAAGAUUAAACAGAAAGAGAUUGGUAUUUGGGAGGAAGAGAUGAAAGGAGAAAGGCUCAAGGGUCUCAUAAAGUACUUGGCUUCCCCUGUGGAACUUGAACAAAUCUAUGCAGCUCAGGUAACAUUAAGUCUGGUGGCGUAGUGGACUAAAGCCUCAUGACUUGAAGGUUGGGUUGCUGACCUGAAAGCUGCCAGGUUCGAAUCCCACCCAGGGAGAGCAUCGAUGAGCUCCCUCUAUCAGCUCCAGCUCCAUGCGGGGACAUGAGAGAAGCCUCCCACAAGGAUGGUAAAAACAUCAAAACAUCUGGGCAUCCCCUGGGCAACGUCCUUGCAGUCGGCCAAUUCUCUCACUCCAGAAGCGACUCAAGUUGCUCCUGACACGGAAAAAAAAUGGUCUAGAGCCUUAUUUAUUUACCCCAGUUCAGCACUUAAACAAGAAUAAUAAACAGGCUCCCAAAGUAAAAGUUGAGGUUCUUAUGAUCAUAAAAAUUAAAAUUUUGGGUCAGAAAUCAUAGUGUAAAUUAAGCCUUUUCCUGGAAACAAGGAAUUAUAAAAUGUGUAACCUCAGAGUGUGGUGUAGUUUUUUUUCUGGAGGCUUUUAAACAUAGUAUCUGCAUGUCUUCCUCUGUUUCUUAUAUGGAGGGAGGGGUAGCUUGGGGGAAGAGAUUCCACCCCAAUAUUAGGAGAAGCUUUCUGACUGUAAGAGCCUUUUGACAGUGGAAUAUGCAGCCCUUGGAGGGUUUUAAAAAGAGGCUGAAUUGUCAUCUCCUCUGAGUGCUUUGUGUGUUUCUGCAUGACAGAAUGAAUUGGACUCUAUAAACUAUAACUGUAGAGACAUUGUUGUAAAGUAGAUGCAGGAAACCUGUGACUUUCCAAAUAUGAUUGGAGAAGAUUAAUCAUAAAUCAUAUCUGCCUUCCAGUUCAUUUGCUGCUCAUGCUCCUCUGCCUAAUUGAAGCAGAAGGAUGGAGAGAAAGAUCUUCAUAUGUAAGAAAUGAAGAUAUAAUCAGGAAAGAUCUAAUUCUAAAUAAAUAUUGGAGAGUAAUUUCUGUUAAAUGCAGUGGGACUUACUUGUAUAUGAACAUGUCUUAACUGAAAUCAUCCUUAUUUGAAGAGGGUAAUCUUUGUGUUUCAGAUUUCACGUACUGUGUUUACAAAUGACUUAUUUCCUCAGUUUUAAAAAACUGUGUUCUUUUGGCAGUGUCUUCUGUAGUUUUUCAUCUGCUGUAGAUUUGGAUCCAUCAAUUUAGAGACGGUUGAUGAAUUGAUCAAUUAUGCUUAAUAGAGGUUCCAGAAGCAUUCUCUCCUGACGUUUCGCCCACAUCUAUGGCAGGCAUCCUCAGAGGUUGUGAGGUAUGGAUAAACUAAGUCAGGAAAGGAAAGAAUAUAUAUCUGUGUAGAGUCCAAGGUGUGGCAAGAGUUCUUUGUCACUGGGAGCCAGCAUUAAUGUUUCAGUUAAUCACCCUAAUUGGCACUGGAAAUGUUUUGUCCCUUGCCUGGGGGCAUCCUUUGUUCAGUCAAGUCCUCAUUGUGUUGGUUAGAGACGGUUGAUGAAUUGAUCAAUUAUGCUUAAUAGAGGUAAAAGAAUACCUGGUAAAAUCACUUCAAACCUUUAUUCUCGCUUUGUUCAGUUGGGUGUUUUGUUAAGUUACAGAAGUGAGAACAACAGACUUGAACCUCUACAUUUAGUAUAUCUGCUUUGUUUUGUUUCAGUGGGAGCAAGUGCCUGCAGUAAUGGUGUCUUGUCUUGUGGAAAAUUACGGGAAAUGUUUGUGGCAUGCUAGGAAUUUUAGUUCAAAAUGAUAACAGGAUUUGGCUUUAUCCUGUGCCAAAUAAAUGGAAACAGCUGGCUUUCAGUAUAUUUUCCCAUUCUUCCCUGGAGUCUAUCCUCUAGAACUGGAAUUGUGAGAGGAGUCCCUAGUGAUAAUUCUUUGUUUCUCUGGCUGAUCUUUGCAGGCCCUUGGGCACCUUGGUGUUGCUGAAGAAAUGGUUAUAUCUGCACUUUAUACUACUGUAAGUACUUGCCCUCCAGGUUAUCAAUAAACCUACAAGGCUACAAUUCUAUGCCAAUUUACUUUUAGAACCUUCUAAUGCAGGGAUGUCCAAAAUGUUUAGGCCAAAAGCCAGUUCACGGUCCCUCAGCCUGUUGAGAGGCCAGUCUAUAGUUUGAAAAAAAGCCAUGAACACAUUCCUAUGCACACUACAUAUAUCUUAUUUGUAGUGCAAAAAAAAGAAAGAAAAAAAACAAUACAUUAUAUAAAACAACUAUUUUAACCAAUGUAAAUGUGCCAGUCUUACAAUGGCAAGUGUGGGCCUGCUUUUGGCUGAUGAGUCAAGUUAAUUAGGAUUGUUGUUAUGUUCCUUCAACUCAUUUCAGACAGUGGCAUAUACUGCCUCAGAGUCUGGUGGAGUCCCCUUCUCUGGGGGCUUUUCAGUAUGGCCAUCUAUCGGGAGGGCUUUGAUUGUGAUAGAGUUAUAGUUGCCACCUGGCUCUCCCAUUUUCUUCCCAAGGGAGGAGCCACAGUGAAGGGCAGUCUUUUUCGAAAGUGCAGGAUGAAGGCAGGGCAGAGAAGGAAGGGAGGGAGGAUGAAAAGCAGGCAGGUGCCAUGAAGCAGCAGGAGCAGUGACAGCCCUGACGGCCUGGGGCAAGUAGGGCAAUUGAGGAGCCUUCCUUUGCAAAGGAAUAAAGAAAAAGUUGUGGGGGAAGAGAAAGAAUGAAACAAGGGGCCACUGGGACAGAGACACCCAAAAAGAAGGCAACACUUAAUUGGGAUGAAGGGACGUAAGAGGCGGCCGCCAUCUCUCUUUCUCUCCUCUCGAGGAGCCCACGGUUUCCAGGGCCCUGAUCCCCAAGAAGGAAUAAACAAAUGAACAAAAAGAGGAAGGAAGUCAAGAAUGGGAGGGAGGGAGGAAGUAAGGAAAAGAGGAAGGAAAGAAGUAAGGGAGGGAAGCUUGAGUACUUGCCCUUUUCAUAAGGUACACAGUGUUCUCACUGUAAGGGGGUGAUG